CAGUCAGAGGAGAAUUGGCAUGGAGAAAUAUGGAAAAGAAAAGUAUAAUAGAAAGUUGGAUAGUUCUGUAAAAUACCUGGCACAGAAAACUAGGAAGAUGCAAAAUAAUAAAUAGAGGAGGAGAAGCGGUGCAGUUUCGCGAGAAUAAGAUACUGUGAAGAACGUUGAGAUUCUGCAUAAAGCUGGAGGAAAAGGAAGAAAAACACACAUAAAUAUUGCAGUAUCAUUCUUUCAAGACAUGAGUUAUUCUAGCAAAAAUAUAUUACUUCAGAAUAUUUUAUUAAAAAAAAUUAAUUAAAAAAAUUCUUGUAAGUAUUUAGAGCCAAGGUGCCAAAUAUUAAAAACAUAUAGCAAACCUUGAAAUGCUAACAGUUUUUUUUUAUUGUUUUGCCUCUUUUUAAAAGAAUAAAUAUUUAAGCAAAAUAGGUUUGUCA
rnacentral:lncRNA from 1 species